rnacentral:rRNA from 1 species
UACAGAGGGUGCGAGCGUUAAUCGGAAUUACUGGGCGUAAAGCGUGCGUAGGCGGUAGCGUAAGUCGGGUGUGAAAGCCCCGGGCUCAACCUGGGAAUUGCAUUCGAGACUGCUCUGCUAGAGUGCGGAAGAGGGAAGCGGAAUUUCCGGUGUAGCGGUGAAAUGCGUAGAUAUCGGAAAGAACACCAGUGGCGAAAGCGGCUUCCUGGUCCAGCACCGACGUUCAGGCACGAAAGCGUGGGGAGCAAACAGG